rnacentral:rRNA from 1 species
UCAUCUUCGGGGGUAGAGCACUGUUUCGGCUAGGGGGUCAUCCCGACUUACCAACCCGAUGCAAACUACGAAUACCGAAGAAUGUUAUCACGGGAGACACACGGCGGGUGCUAACGUCCGUCGUGAAGAGGGAAACAACCCAGACCGCCAGCUAAGGUCCCAAAGUCAUGGUUAAGUGGGAAACGAUGUGGGAAGGCACAGACAGCCAGGAUGUUGGCUUAGAAGCAGCCAUCAUUUAAAGAAAGCGUAAUAGCUCACUGGUCGAGUCGGCCUGCGCGGAAGAUGUAACGGGGCUAAACCAUGCACCGAAGCUGCGGCAGCGACACUAUGUGUUGUUGGGUAGGGGAGCGUUCUGUAAGCCUGCGAAGGUGUGCUGUGAGGCAUGCUGGAGGUAUCAGAAGUGCGAAUGCUGACAUAAGUAACGAUAAAGCGGGUGAAAAGCCCGCUCGCCGGAAGACCAAGGGUUCCUGUCCAACGUUAAUCGGGGCAGGGUGAGUCGACCCCUAAGGCGAGGCCGAAAGGCGUAGUCGAUGGGAAACAGGUUAAUAUUCCUGUACUUGGUGUUACUGCGAAGGGGGGACGGAGAAGGCUAUGUUAGCCGGGCGACGGUUGUCCCGGUUUAAGCAUGUAGGCUGAUUGUCCAGGCAAAUCCGGAUAAUCAAGGCUGAGGUGUGAUGACGAGGCACUACGGUGCUGAAGUAACAAAUGCCCUGCUUCCAGGAAAAGCCUCUAAGCAUCAGGUAACAUUAAAUCGUACCCCAAACCGACACAGGUGGUCAGGUAGAGAAUACCAAGGCGCUUGAGAGAACUCGGGUGAAGGAACUA